UUUUUGAUAAUAAUAUAAAGUAGGGCCUGCCCACUGAGUAAUUGAAGGGCCGCAGUAUUUUGACUGUGCAAAGGUAGCAUAAUCAUUAGUUUUUUAAUUGAAAGCUUGUAUGAAUGGUUUGAUGAGAAAAUAUCUUUCUAUAUUUAAAUUAUGAAGAAUUUUAUUUUUGAGUUAAAAAGCUCAAAUAAAUUUAAUAGACGAGAAGACCCUAUAGAGUUUUAUUAUUAACUUUUUUUAUAUUUUUGGAAUUUAAUUUUUUAAAAAGCUAAAUAAUUUGAUUGGGGUGAUUAGAAAAUUAGAGAAACUUUUUUUUUAUUAAAAACAUUGAUUUAUGAGUAUUUGAUCCAUGAAACUGAUUAAAAGAAUAAAUUACCUUAGGGAUAACAGCGUUAUUUUUUUUUAGAGUUCUAAUCGAGAAAAGAGAUUGCGACCUCGAUGUUGGAUUAAAGUUAAUUUUUGGUGUAGAAGCUAAAAAAUUUGGUCUGUUCGACCAUUAAAUCUUUACA
rnacentral:rRNA from 1 species